rnacentral:rRNA from 1 species
UACGGGGGGGGCAAGCGUUGUUCGGAAUUACUGGGCGUAAAGGGCUCGUAGGUGGCCAACUAAGUCAGACGUGAAAUCCCUCAGCUUAACUGGGGAACUGCGUCUGAUACUGGAUGGCUUGAGUUUGGGAGAGGGAUGCGGAAUUCCAGGUGUAGCGGUGAAAUGCGUAGAUAUCUGGAGGAACACCGGUGGCGAAGGCGGCAUCCUGGACCAACACUGACACUGAGGAGCGAAAGCCAGGGGAGCUAACGGG